rnacentral:lncRNA from 1 species
AAUAUUUUUUUUUUUUUUAGGGUAUCUAUCUAUUACUAUAUAUAAAAGUAGAACCCUUAAUGAACCCUAUGUGAGAAGCUGACACGUGGCUUUCUAUAUACUUGCCACGUGUCAAACUCAAAUAUGGAUAUUUGGUUACGAAUUAUUUAAAAUUAUUGGUUUAAUUAAUUAUUUAAAAUUAUUGGUUGCGAAAUACGCAAUAAUCUGUUGCGAAUUAUUUUUUCACGGUGGAAAUAAUCUGUUGCAAACUAAAAUUUCGUAUUGGCAGAUAAUUAAUUAUUUAAAAUUAUUGGUUGCGAAAUAAGUAAUAAUCUGUUGCGAAUUAUUUGAAAUAGUUAGUUGCGAAAAAAAGGGUCAAACUCAAAUUUCGUUCACGGAUAUUACGUUGCGAAUGAAUUGGCGGGUACAGAUAUUACGCAUGAGAAAAAAAAUAUUUAUCUUUAUUUGGAAAUAAAUUACUGCUUAGUUAAUUAUUUGAAAUUAUUAGUAGAAAAUUACUAGACAUAAAAAUAUUAGAAAAAAACGAUAGAGACAAUUUCCUAACGUGGAUUUCUAUAUGUUUUCUACGUGUCAUCGUCUCUAUUCUAUUUACUAUAAUGAUAGGUGAAUUAAUGAAAUAUUUGAGAAAUUCAUGGAUAUUACGUUGUGAAAUAAUUGACUGGUGCGGAUAUUACGCGUGAGAAGGAAAAUAUUUGAGAAACGCGUAGAUAGAAAAUAUGAUAUAAAUGUGAGGGUAAUAUUGUAACAAAAAUUAACAAAUAUUUUUAUUUUCAAUCAUUAGAUAAGAUCUAAUGGUAAAAAAUUAAUAUCUUUUGCUAUAUUAUUAAAAAUCACCUAUAAUGAAGGAGAUUUUAUUUCAAAAUCAUCUAUAAUUAUGUUGAGAUAUUUUCAAAAUUCACGGAUAUUAUGUGGCAAAAAAAUUGGCCGGUGCAGAUAUUAUGCAUGAGAAGAAAAAUAUUUAUCUUUAUUUGGGAAUAAAUUACUACUUAGUUAAUUAUUUGAAAUGAUUGGUUGAAAAUUUCUAGACAUAAAAAUAUUAGUAAAAAAUGAUAGAGACAUUUUUGAAAAGAGAAAAAAUUAAAAACUCACGCUUUUAUAAAAAAUUAAUAUCUUUUACUAUAUUAUUAAAAAUCACAUAUAAUGAAGGAAAUUUUAUUUCAAAGUCAUUGAGAUAUUUGAGAAAUUUAUGGAUAUUAUGUUGCGAAAGAAUUGGCGGUGCGGAUAUUACGCGUGAGAAGAAAAAUAUUUAUUUUUAUUUGGGAAUAAAUUAUUACUUAUUUAAUUAUUUGAAAUGAUUGGUUGAAAAUUUCUGGACAUAAAAAUAUUAGUAAAAAGGAUAGAGAUAUUUUUGGAAAGAAAAAAAAAUUUAAAACUCACAUCACUCCUGUAAUUUUCUUCGCUCUUAAAUAUUAAUGCUUUAAAAUAGAACAUAUUAUUUCCCUGUUACUUCUGUAAUUUUCAUUUCGUAAUUUUUUUUCUUUACUUUCACUCCUGUAACUUUUCAUCUGCAUACAACAAAGUUCUUUUUGCAUUUUAGUUGAAUAUUUACUUUGAUCCAAUUUUUUUUUUCUCUAGCUUGUGUACUUUAAUAUGUACUAUAAUUAAGAUUGAUAGUAUAUUUUUUUAUUUGUUAAAAAAUAUAAAAUUAAUUAGAAAUUUUUUUUAUUAUCAUCACAUAAUAAUUUUUAUUAUUAUAUAUUAUUAUAUUAGCCGUGCAUCGCACGGGUGAAAAUCUAGUGUAUACUAAUGGGAUUGGCCUUUAUAAGGAUAUUUUGGGUAUUAAGGAGUUGUGUGAAAAUUGUGAAUAAUAGUAAGAGGUAUAUAAGCAAAAGCCUAUUUGGUUAUAGAGUAAUUAUAUAAUAGGGUAUAGACCCUAGACUGUUAUACUAUCGAUAGGACGGAGGACUCCGUGCUACUAAGUUAUUUUCGAUGACAUAGCUUUCGAAUCGACGAUCGGUUUCGUUAGACAUGAUCUACGAUAUUGAAAAUAUUUAAAAAUUAAAUUUUAUAUUUUUUCCACAUUAUUUGAUUAGUGAUCAAAAAAUCUUAAAAUUGAUAUUUUAUGGACAAUGUGAUGCUUUUGUGUAUUUAACAGUGUAAAACAAUUCAAAUCUGAUAAAAUUUUUAUAGAAAAUUUUCUUCACUAUUUAGAGUAAGAUCAAUUACUCUAAUCUCAAAUUUAAGUCUUUUAUCAUCAUUUUUAAUGAUGAUUUUUUAUUUCCAGCCGUUCAUUUUUAGACUACUCGUUUGAUAGGCAAAUAAUAUCGAAUAAUUAUGAAAUUUAGUUUUCAAAUGCUUUCAAUAGUAUAGAUCAAGUUUAACAAAAACGAUCGUCAACUUGGUAGCCGCAUCAUUAAAACCAACUUGGUAACACAAAAGUUUCCGUGCGAUUGAUAAUAAUAUACCAGCCGGACUCCUACGGUGUAUACAUAAUAAAUAUCAGUAUUACAACAAUAAGCAAAUUCAGAUAUUCAGAAAUUUGAACCUUUUUUUUAUAACUUUUACAACAAAUUCAGAAUA